AAGUAUAUAUUGACUUUAGCCCUGACUAUCCCUAAGACAUUCUGCUUAUGUUACUUUUUUAUGCAUAUGGUUUAACAAGAAAUAAUACUUUAUUCACCCGGUGCCCAGUUCAUUUCCUGUGUGUGUUGCUCUAGUGGUCUGAGUUAAUACUCUUUCCCUCUCUCCCUCAUGUGCUAAUUUAUAUAAUUAGGGAGUGAUAGAUGCCAGAAUAUUGAGACUCAUGAAAGGGGAGGGAGAAAACUGCUUAUGGCUAUCCACCAGACUAGAUACCUUAGCUACAAUGUAGAGAGAAGCAAAGCAGAAGAAGGUCCCAGAAAUCCUCAGGAAGCAAAAUCCAAAAAAGGAGUUAUGGCUAUUUGGUUUUGGUUCAGACCUGUGUGUUCCAGUGGUAUAGGGAGCCCACGUGAGGAAAUUCCCCCUACUAUCAAAUAUCAGCAACCGUUUUGUAGUUAUGAAAAGAGCUGGGAGGUUAAAUGAGCUGUCUUGAGCCACACAGCUGGUAUGUGUCAAAGGUGUCUUGAACCCAGGUCUUCCUGUCUCUAAGAUUAUCAAGAUAUUGCAGAACCACUCCCAGAGUCUAAUCAGACUCCUUAUAUGAUUCCCUCUGAUGAGAAAGUUCACAUGAAUCAUCUCUCCACAUUUGAAUGGCUGUUCAUAGUGAAAUUCAAAACCGAAUGGAACUUGCCUGUUGUGAGGUGUGCAUACGUGAUCCAAACCAUCUGGGUGCCGCAGAGGUGUGGAGCAAGGAGACUUUCAUUGGAAUGGUUAGACUAUUCCUUUCAAGGCUCUGACAUGCUCCUUAAGACUUUGUUGGCUCAGAGGACCAAGGGUUUGGACUGUUGAAGUCAUUUUCUAAUCACCUAAGUAUAAAGAGGACACAAGAGAUAAAGAGGUCUAAGGUACUUGGUUGGAGGACUGUGUUAGAAGCUUCAUUCAGCUGAAUCAACUCAAGGUAUACUCAGACUUUCCUUGUAGAAGAUCCUUCUUCCUCUAGGGUUAAGUACAUUUCCUUGAUUAAUUAUUGAAUUAUCUAUUAUUUCAAUAUCAAGCUAAAUUAUUAGGGGCCUACCCCAAAUCUGGCCCAGCCAAGAACAAGGAGUUCUCACUUGAUGGCCUCUAAAGUUCCUUCUAGU
rnacentral:lncRNA from 1 species